GGGGAGCCGCGGCGGGCAGUGCCGCUCGACGCUGCGGCCGGGCCGGGGUUGGGCCUGCUGGACCUCUUGUGCCCUGUAAUGGAAGAAAAGUUUGAAAAUGUCAGAGCACGCUGCUUCCCAGCCCGCCGGCGUUUGUUUGGCACCGCCGUUUUCUCCGCUUUGAACUACUGCUAUGAUCUACAGAGAGAUCUGAGAACUCGUACCAGCAGUCCUUUGAGAUCAAAUCCUGCAUUGAUUUCAAAAUGCAACAGCGAGAGCACUUGAACUUCAGUCCUGUGCUCAGGAUGCUGCAGUUGAAAGUGAAGAAGUAUUGUUUGAGACAGCGUACUUGACAAUAUUCUCAGAAAUCCUUGAUUCUAUCCCACUAUUUCACACCACUGAGAGCAUGAAGACAGUACAUCAUGGAAGUGCAAAUCCUGCACAAGGAAGAUUGUAUUGGUUCAUUAUUUAAAUCUGCAUUUUCCUACAGACUCAACAAGAGCAUGUACUAAGCAAAACCAGUGCAGCCUGCAGGAGCUGAGCAGGACUUAAAAUGAGCUGCCUCUCUCACCAGCCAGAAAUUGAUGUAUUUCAAGCAGAGACAUCCCUCAUCCUGCCCCUAAGAAGCAGUGAGGCUGCAAGCACUACAGCAAUACAAAUUCCUAGUUACAAAUUCUGUGAGCACAGUUCAGUUACCCCAAGAGAGAUUUGGCUCUGGUCUCCUUUCUUGGCUCCUCAUCCUGAGGGACCCAGCUACCAUGGUUUCAAAAGCAGGGUUCAGGGCUCAGCUGGCAUCCCUGCUGCUGGGUAGAAAGACAUUGUGCUGUGUAUCACUUAUUUUUUGUACUUUUUUUGUUCUGUUUUGUUUCUGUUUGCUCUAAUUCCAACCCCUUUUCUAUUGAGCUGUCUUUAUCCCCACCCAUGAGUUUUACUUUUGUUUUUGCCUAAUUCUCUCCCUGUCCCCCCGAGUCCCUGCAUGGUACAGAACUGCCUGCCAGGUUAAACCACAGCAGAAAUGUACCAGACAGAAAGGUAAACAAAGCUUGCAGAACCAGUGAAAAUAAGAAGAUGAUGAAUUGUGAUAACUACUUUAAACUCAACACCUCCUAAUGUAGAAUAAGGCAUACGAUAUUUAAUGCUAUGCACUUCAGUUUUUACUGAUUUAGAAUAGCAAUAGAAAAAAGAGCUGAACACAGGAGAACAUCUUUGAGGCACUGGGCACUGAUAUACUACAGAACAGAGCUAAGGUUGAAAAAUAAAUCCGACCCUUAAUAAAACAGGAAUGUUUUCCAAGCUUUCUUUUCAGCUAUAUUCUUCAUAUUUUUUUUCUGAAAUUUAAUCUUAAGUGGUGGUUUAAAAAUGGACAUUUGCAGUGAAAAUAUAAUUUAAUAGUGAAGUACCAGUAACAGUAGUUCACCAGUGACUAUGAAGACAGCUGUGAAAACUUAAUAAAGCCGUAACUCCUCAUAUAUAUUGCUAUUUUAGCACCAUGUGGACUCAAAUGUUUAAUUAAAAUAAUUGCCUAUAUGGUUCUGGAUCGUCUUUUUAUUAUGAAAUGGAGACUUCAUGUGGCCUUCUACCUACUUCUUACUUUAAUUAAGCUGAGCUGUAAAUCUUUUUUUUUUUUUUUUUCCCCCACUGUUAGUUCAAUUUAAGCUCUUCUCUUUCCUCCCUUCCAGAGUAAUUAUCUCCAGUCAGGGCAUCCAUUUUUCAACAGUCUAUUCCUAACUAUGCAGAGAGAGUCCCAUAUAUGUGACUUAGAUUGUUGUACAAGCUAAAUCCUGGAAGAAAGUAUGUUUUCCAAUCUAGUCCUCCCCACAGACCAAAUAGAAUAUGUAUAGAAUAUGUAUUGACUCCUACUUCAAAUGAAAACUGUUCUGUGCUGUGACUACCGUUUACAACAUCAUAUCUUCAAGAUAUAAUGACAAACAAUCCCUUAUGUUGAUACUUAUUUGAUUAUUGCUAUUAAAAUUCAGUGUAUUUGAAUUUGAAUUCAUGUCAGUUCUACUCAUGUCUUGCCCAAGGAUGCUGUGGAUGCCCCAUCCCUGGAGGCAUUCAAGGCCAGGCUGGAUGUGGCUCUGGGCAGCCUGGUCUGCUGGUUGGUGACCCUGCACACAGCAGGGGGGUUGAAACUGGAUGAUCAUUGUGGUCCUUUUCAACCCAGGCCAUUCUAUGAUUCUGUGAUUCUGUGUCUUAUAUUUUAUGCUAGAUUUAGCAAUUGUGUAUUUCCUGUGCACGUUUAACUAAGGAUUGGUGUAGGAUUGCUGUUCGUCACACUUUUUCCGAUGUUCUUGAAGAAGUCUGUCUCGACGGCAUGGAAUAAAUAAC
ensembl:lncRNA